rnacentral:rRNA from 3 species
UUAAAUUGAAGAGUUUGAUCAUGGCUCAGAUUGAACGCUGGCGGCAGGCCUAACACAUGCAAGUCGAACGGUAACAGGAAGAAGCUUGCUUCUUUGCUGACGAGUGGCGGACGGGUGAGUAAUGUCUGGGAAACUGCC